AAUCAACGCUGGCGGCGUGCCUCAGACAUGCAAGUCGAACGAUUAAAGCUCUCUUCGGAGAGUGCAUAGAGUGGCGCACGGGUGAGUAACACGUAAGUAAUCUACCUUCGAGUGGGGAAUAACGUCCGGAAACGGACGCUAAUACCGCAUAAUGCAGCGGCAUCGCAAGAUGGCAGUUGUUAAAGAAUUUAUUCGCUUGAAGAGGAGCUUGCGGCAGAUUAGCUUGUUGGUAAGGUAACGGCUUACCAAGGCUACGAUCUGUAACCGGUCUAAGAGGACGGUCGGUCACACUGACACUGAAUAACGGGUCAGACUCCUACGGGAGGCAGCAGUCGGGAAUUUUUGGG
rnacentral:rRNA from 1 species